GGUUUAAGAUAGAGAGCAAAGGUGCAAAAAGAAACACGGUUCAGAUGCCGCCGUGUCGAGAUGCAGAUGCAAGCGCCACUGCCUGAGCCCAUACCUUUAGCCGGGCCUUCACUUCUCGUGGAUCAUCACCAGGGCUAGAAAUCCGCCAGUUGGCGAUAGGCGAAUUGCCACCGCUGCUUGUAUCAAGGGUAGAACCUGAGAGGGAGACACGACCAGGCAUUUCCAGCAUGCGCUCAUGCUCCAAUUCAAACCCAAGAUCUCGACAAGCCUUCACUUCGUCCAAGUCCAUGCACAAUGACCUACUCCCACCCUUUGGCCGAGUUAUCAACACCACCCCUCCGCCUUCACUCUCCCCACUAAAACUGUUACAGUACCCAUAGUAAUUACCCAUUCCCCAGCCCAUACACUCCUCAUCUUUCUUUUUACUCUUAUUAUCACCAUCAACCCAUCUUUCUCUUAUAACCCUUCUUCUCCUCCUCAAAUUCUUUCUCGUACUACCCUUUUGAGCUUCAUUUUCACUGGCAUACUCCUUCGCCCCCACAAGCUUCUUAUUUACCAAACCUCCGCGGUUUCUACGGCGAGGCGGCGUCGCUGGAAGAGAGUAGCAACAGGGUUCUUCAUCGGAAUCUGAGGAGAGGUCAAGCAUGCCAAACCCUUCUUUCUCAUCGGAGAGUUCCUCAUCUGCAUCGAAGCUUUCUAUGGAUAAUCUUGACAAGAACAGCCUCAUACCAUCACAAUCUUGAUAAUCAUCAUCAUCAAUAGUAUACAUAGAACUAGUACACACAGACAACCUGGACAGAUUACUGGGUGGAGGAUGAUGAUCAUGAUCAUACCCAUCAUCAGUAUCAUGAUCAUCCUCGUCUUCAAGCAUAAUAGAAGAAGAAGAAAGCAUAUUGGAGCUCUCAGCUAACGCCAUAAUCAAACAGAGAGAUUAAAAAACAAAAAGGAGUUCAGAGAAAGGAAAGCGUUCGAUCAAAGUAUUAAAAAAGGAAAAGGAGAUUUGAAUUAGUGUAAAAUGAUUUGUGGCUUUUUGGUUUUCUGUGAAUCAUUCGUUC
rnacentral:misc_RNA from 1 species